AUGCUCCCACUCCCACAUCUUCUUCUAGUCCACACCUUCCUCCCCCAUCCCCUGCCUGGCCCUGCUCCCCAUUUACGCGCCCGGUGCGUACAUUCAUGCAUGACGCACACGGCCAUGAAGAGGAGGAGGCGGCGGCAUGGCCAGCCUCAUCAUCUUCACCUCCUUGUCUCCCUCCUCCUCCUCCUACUCCUCGACCGCGCUUGUGCAGCUCUACCGUCGUCGCCCAAGAUGGCAAGGAUCCAGCAGCAUCUCGACCGCGCCAACAAGCCAGCACUGCGCACCAUACAGAGCAUGGACGGGGACACCAUCGACUGCGUGCCCCGGCACAAGCAGCACGCGCUGGACCACCCGCUCCUCAGGAACCACAGGAUCCAGAGCGCGCCGCCGAGCAUGCCCGCCUCCGCCACCGCCACCUUCAGUGCUAGCGCGGCGGCGUCGGGCAACUCCACCAGCAGGGCCAGAGCGGCGUGGCAGACGUGGCACCACGCGGGCCACUGCCCGAAAGGCACGGUGCCCGUGCGGCGGACCACCGCCGAGGACGUGCUGCGCGGCGGGCAGUCGCUCUUCCGCUUCGGCCGCAAGCGGCACCGCCGCGACCGUGCGGCCCGCGCCGCCAACGCCCCCGACGUCGUCACCGGCAACGGCCACGAGCACGCGAUCGCGUACACGGCGGUGGGGCAGCAGGAGGUGUACGGCGCCAAGGCGACCAUCAACGUCUGGGAUCCGGCCAUCCAGGAGCACAACGGCUUCAGCCUCUCGCAGCUCUGGCUGCUCUCCGGCUCCUUCAACGGCUCCGACCUCAACAGCAUCGAGGCCGGGUGGCAGGUCAGCCCUGAGCUGUACGGUGACAGCAGGCCUAGGCUCUUCACAUAUUGGACAAGCGACGCGUACGAGGCGACGGGCUGCUACAACGCGCUGUGCCCGGGCUUCGUGCAGACCAGCUCCCGCGUGGCCAUCGGCGCAGCCAUCUCCCCGGUCUCCUCCCUCGCUGGCGAGCAGUACGACAUGACGCUCCUCAUCUGGAAGGACCCCAAGCUCGGCAACUGGUGGCUUAGCUACGGCGACGCCGGAGCCUCGCAGCUCGUCGGCUACUGGCCCGCCGAGCUCUUCACGCACCUCUCCGGCCACGCCAGCAUGGUCGAGUGGGGCGGCGAGGUCGUUAACACCAGCCCGGGGGGCGCGCACACCGCCACGCAGAUGGGCUCCGGCAGGUUCGCCGCCGAGGGGUUCGGCCGCGCCAGCUACUUCCGCAACCUCGAGACGGUGGACGCCGGGAACAGCCUCGCCCCCGUGUCGCUCGACGCCGUGCAGACGCUGGCCGAGGACGCCGGCUGCUACGACAUCAGGAAGGCCUACGACGAGCGGGACGGAUGGGGCACGCACUUCUACUACGGGGGACCGGGACACAACCCGGCCUGCCCCUAG
rnacentral:rRNA from 1 species